ensembl:lncRNA
UAAUUAUUAAUGUCUGGUUGUGUUUCAGGAUCUCUGUUUGAGUCGGUCUCUUGUUGUGCUCUUUAUUUUCUGAGGCCUCUCAUGUUGCUCUGGACGGCUCCGUAUAUUAAUAACUUCACAGGCAACAUUAAAACAUGGGUUAAAAAAUACAGUUCUAGAGCAGAAUAUAUUGUUUUCUCAGCUGUUUUUUAUUCAGGUAAAGAAAUCCAAAUGUAAAUCAACAUUCAUUAUCAAGCACAUUAAAAUGCACAUUAACACUUGAACAUUAAUUAUUUUUAAAUAUUCUCAGUAUCCUGCAGGAAAUCUUAAACAUGACAUGACGUUAAUAAUUGGAAGUGUCUGUUACUGUUGUAUUGUUGUCAGUAUCAUAUUCUACACGUGUUCAGUGUUAAAUCUCUGUGUGACUGAACACAUUUCAUCACUCUUAUAAUCUACACCGGUUAAUAAUGAAGAAAUCACAUUAAUUAAUAGACAUGAUGUUAUAGUGACUGAGUCUGAAGCUACUUCUACAUCACAUCUCAGCAUGUUUUGGGGUCAUGUGAGGGUCAGGGGUCAUAUAAUCAGCACAAAGGUCACAGGGUCAGUGUCAGGAACAGUUAAACGAAUGUGUCGUAAUGUUGUGUAAGAAGCAUCAGUUUUUGUAAUUCUUGUGAUCUGUAUUUAUUAUAUGUUGUUCUUCUAUUUUAGUAAUUGUUGGGUUUUUUCUCUUCUUUCUUCCAGUUCUGUUUAAAUCUGCCUGGGACAAGAGUCUGAAUUACACUGGAUUUGAGGGAGUCAUGAUUAUAAUUCUCUUUGUGAUGGUGCUUCUGUUCACCCUCUUCUAUAUUAUUUACUGUAAGUAUUUCCUUUAAGAGUCAGUGAGAUGAAUGUGCUGUAAAUCAUGAUUUACCAGAUUAAUGCUGUUUGUUAAAGACACAACAUAUAAAACCCUAAUAUCAGACCUGAUUUAUCAGUUAACUGAAGCAUUUCCAUUAGACGAGUUAUUAUAGCAAAUAUUACUCAGAGUGCUUUACACAGACAUGAUAAAGAGAAAAAUAAAAGUGAUGAAAGAAUUGAAGAAAAAAAAACA